GAGUUUGAUCUUGGCUCAGAUUGAACGCUGGCGGCAUGCCUUACACAUGCAAGUCGAACGGCAGCACGGGAGCUUGCUCCUGGUGGCGAGUGGCGAACGGGUGAGUAAUGCAUCGGAACGUAUCCUGGAGUGGGGGGAUAACGUAGCGAAAGUUACGCUAAUACCGCAUAUUCUGUGAGCAGGAAAGCGGGGGACCUUCGGGCCUCGCGCUCUUGGAGCGGCCGAUGUCGGAUUAGCUAGUUGGUGAGGUAAAGGCUCACCAAGGCGACGAUCCGUAGCAGGUCUGAGAGGAUGAUCUGCCACACUGGAACUGAGACACGGUCCAGACUCCUACGGGAGGCAGCAGUGGGGAAUUUUGGACAAUGGGGGCAACCCUGAUCCAGCCAUGCCGCGUGAGUGAAGAAGG
rnacentral:rRNA from 1 species